UGCAAGUCGAGCGGAUGAAGGGAGCUUGCUCCUGGAUUUAGCGGCGGACGGGUGAGUAAUGCCUAGGAAUCUGCCUGGUAGUGGGGGAUAACGUUCCGAAAGGAACGCUAAUACCGCGUACGUCCUACGGGAGAAAGCAGGGGACCUUCGGGCCUUGCGCUAUCAGAUGAGCCUAGGUCGGAUUAGCUAGUUGGUGAGGUAAUGGCUCACCAAGGCGACGAUCCGUAACUGGUCUGAGAGGAUGAUCAGUCACACUGGAACUGAGACACGGUCCAGACUCCUACGGGAGGCAGCAGUGGGGAAUAUUGGACAAUGGGCGAAAGCCUGAUCCAGCCAUGCCGCGUGUGUGAAGAAGGUCUUCGGAUUGUAAAGCACUUUAAGUUGGGAGGAAGGGUUGUACGUUAAUACCGUGCAAUUUUGACGUUACCGACAGAAUAAGCACCGGCUAACUUCGUGCCAGCAGCCGCGGUAAUACGAAGGGUGCAAGCGUUAAUCGGAAUUACUGGGCGUAAAGCGCGCGUAGGUGGUUCAGUAAGUUGGAAGUGAAAUCCCCGGGCUCAACCUGGGAACUGCUUUCAAAACUGCUGAGCUAGAGUACGGUAGAGGGUAGUGGAAUUUCCUGUGUAGCGGUGAAAUGCGUAGAUAUAGGAAGGAACACCAGUGGCGAAGGCGACUACCUGGACUGAUACUGACACUGAGGUGCGAAAGCGUGGGGAGCAAACAGGAUUAGAUACCCUGGUAGUCCACGCCGUAAACGAUGUCAACUAGCCGUUGGGAUCCUUGAGAUCUUAGUGGCGCAGCUAACGCAUUAAGUUGACCGCCUGGGGAGUACGGCCGCAAGGUUAAAACUCAAAUGAAUUGACGGGGGCCCGCACAAGCGGUGGAGCAUGUGGUUUAAUUCGAAGCAACGCGAAGAACCUUACCUGGCCUUGACAUGCUGAGAACUUUCCAGAGAUGGAUUGGUGCCUUCGGGAACUCAGACACAGGUGCUGCAUGGCUGUCGUCAGCUCGUUGCCGUGAGAUGUUGGGUUAAGUCCCGUAACGAGGCCCAACCCUUGUCCUUAGUUACCAGC
rnacentral:rRNA from 1 species